rnacentral:lncRNA from 1 species
GUUAGAGCCAAUGAACCAAUGUUUGAACCUGAGUGGCAGCAUCAGUGCAUGUUUGAAAUAUUAACAAGAAUCUUUUCUACAUAGUGUACAAGUCAUUAGUGAAUGAAAAGCUCCAUUCUGGCCCAAUAUAAUAAUCUGCCCUCCUUCACCUCAAAAAAAAAGAUAUUCUUAUAACACUUCUGAUGACUCAGAAUGCUAUUUAGGUAUGAAAUUGGUUUUCCUUCAGGCAGAAUUAUCAACCAUUUUGUUGUCUUCUUAAAAUAUCAGCAAUAAAUAAUAAAUUGUAUAACUAAAUCACAAGGACAUUGAGAAAAAAUAUGCUUGUUGAUAAUUUAUCUUCCUUUUCAACAUCAUAGAUCUUCCUGUUGCCUUCCUUAUGCACAAGCAAAAUCCUGUGAAAGCUAAAAUAAAUAAAGAAAAUAACAGUGCUAAUAUUUUUUUCCUAAAAUUGUACUUUGUUUCAGUUAAAUUUUACUGGAAACACACCAAGAAACAAGUAUCUGAUGUUUUGUACACUUUUAAGUAACUCUAUCUUACAUCAUCUACCAUUUUAUCUAUCUUUUGUUUACUUAUUUAGGGUGUUGUGGAUUUAACUCAUGGGUACUCCACGACUGAGCCACAUUCCCAGCCCUAUUUUGUAUUUUUUAUUUAGAGACAGGGUCUCUUAGCUCAACUGAGCUUUCCCUCUUUAUUUUAGGAGAACAAGAACAAGGAAAAUGUAUAUUGUGCCCUCCAUUCUGUCAAAUAUAGUUUGUAUCAUUUUUGUAAGGCUACUUAACAUUUGUAGAAUAGGAAUAUUUUUUAUUUAUAAAAUUUAAACGAUAGUGCCCAACAGGAUGUUCAAUGGGUUAAAUAUUACUAUUUAAAAUAUCUAGCUAUUAACAUAGAAAUAAUGUUUGUAACACAUUUAUGAUGAUGGCCACACAGAGUGAUGAAUAAGACAAUACAGAUACUUAACAAUGCUUUAGAAACUAAGAAGUGAAAAGAUUUAUUUUAGACUAGGAUAAAAGGGAACCUGUCUUAAGUCAGUGGGAGUCCAGCAGGCAUCUAAAGAAAAGGGAUUUGAAGCAGCAGCAGCGUGAUGCUAUUGUCCAUCCUGCAGGGAAGGCUCAGAAUCAGGUGGAUGAGAGCAGAGGAGAGGAGGUGAUCCCAGGAAAGGUCAAAUGGAAGUGUUCUGGGCUGUUUUUGACAUAUUUUACAUAAGACAAAGACAUAAUCCAAAUGCAUUUGAAACUUUUUUCACAAUGGUGCUAUGUCAUGGUGUAGAUAACAAGUGUCUCCCAAAAGCUCAUGUGUGAGAAAAUACAAGAAAUUUUAGAGGUGAAAUGUUUGGGUUAUGAAAGUCUUGACCUAAUUGUGCAUUCAUCCUCUUAAAUGUAUUAACUGGGUGGUACCUGUAGGUAGGUAGUGUGGCAGGAGGAAGCAGAUGACUGAGGGCUUGCCUUUAGGGUACAUAUUUUGUCCUUGAUACAGGGAGCUCUCUCUGCUUCCUUGUUGUCAUGUCCUGAGCUGCUGUCCUUCAUCAAGCUCUUCACCACUAUGCUCUCCCUCACCAAGAAAUGGAGUUCUUUUUCUAUGGACUGAGAGCUCUCAGCCCAAAAUAAACUUUUCCCUUCUGUUCCUGUUAGAUUUCUUAGUCACAACAGUGAGAAAGCUGACUAAAAUAUGCUGAGACCAAUUUGAAAUGUUGAAAUAAGCAGAAACUAUGAUAAUGCAGGUUAGAAAGGAUAAUACAGGUUAGAGGGCAGCAUUGGCAACACAUGGAGCAUGGCACAGACAGAUGCAGCUGGAACACAGAACAAAAGCAAAGCCUCCCCAGAGUCCCAUUAUCAGCAUAACCUCCUUUGUCUCCUAUUGUAACCACUCAUUUGAUGGCACUCUAAACUCCCUUUCUAUCCCUUUUUCAUUGUCAUAUAAAUCCUAGUAGAGUUCAACUUGAAUCCCAUAUGGAGCAUGUGUUGUACAAAGGAAUAUCUGGUUUCAGUGGAAUAUUUUGUCAAAUCAUAAAGAUUUACAACAUUCAAUAUACAGCUUGAGAGGGAAAAAAAAGAACCUUUGUCUGAUGUACUCAGGUCUUUAUGUUCUCAUGGAAGCCACUUAUCUCUUGACUGUGCCACAAAUAAUUUGAAAUCAACAUGCUUACAAAGGAUCUUACCAGGGGACUGGGGGUGUAUCACAAUGGUAGAGCACUUUUCUAGCAUCUAGGAUGCCCUGGGAGCUCCUGGGUUCUAUCCCAGCACCACAGGAGAAAAGAAAAAAAAACACUAUUCUUUCCCCAACUCUUGGUUCCUCUUCUUUGAACCUUGUCAAUGGUGUAUCCAUCCACCCAAUCCAAGUGGAAAGCAAUGGAAUUUUCUUCAAUUUAUAACUUUCAUUCAUUUGUAGUUUGAUGUCACCUUUAAGGGAGUGGAAGGGAAAAGAAUUAAUGACUAAAGUCUUCCAUUUAAGAAAACUGCAGCAAGAAGUAAUAGAAAAUAUAUUGAUUUUGUUUUUUAUAGCUGAGCAGUUAGUUCAGAUAGCAAGGCUUUGUAUAAAUACUAUCCUUGUUGAGGUAUUCCUAUUAUCAAGAUUACUACUAAAAUUUUGCUUCCAUUAAGUUCACUCCCACUUUAUGUUGGAGUUGUGCCAUGUUAUAUCACAUGUAUGUUUGGUUUGGCUUCACGAAAAGUGAAUGUGAUGAGUUAUCAUUCUCAAAUAGGAAUCUUGUAUUCUGACCUAAUAAGUAAAUUGAAAUUUGAUGUGACUGUUUAUAAUUCAUGUUUAAAUUAAUUACAUUC